rnacentral:rRNA from 1 species
UACGUAGGGGGCAAGCGUUGUCCGGAUUUAUUGGGCGUAAAGAGCGUGUAGGCGGUUCGGUAGGUCCGUUGUGAAAACUCGAGGCUCAACCUCGAGACGCCGAUGGAAACCCCCGAACUAGAGUCCGGAAGAGGAGAAUGGAAUUCCUGGUGUAGCGGUGAAAUGCGCAGAUAUCAGGAAGAACACCCGUGGCGAAGGCGGCUCUCUAGUACGGUACUGACGCUGAGACGCGAAAGCCAGGGGAGCGAACGGG